GGCCGACUAGCUCAGUUGGUUAGAGCGUCGUGCUAAUAUGACCAGAAUGUACUGGAGAAAUUACGCGAAGGUCUUGGGUUCGAUCCCCACGUUGGCCA